GGACUUUAUAUCUAGGAGGAGGAGAGAGAGGACUUAUAUCAUCAGGGAGGAGAGGAGGACCUUUAUAUCAUCAGGAGGAGGAGAGGAGGACUUUAUAUCAUCAGAGGAGGAGAGGAGGACUUUAUAUCAUCAGGAGGAGGAGAGGAGGACUUUAUAUCUCGGAGGAGAGGAGGACUUUAUAUCCUCAGGGAGGAGAGGAGGACUUUAUAUCAUCAGGAGGAGGAGAGGAGGACUUUAUAUCAUCAGGAGGAGGAGGAGGACUUUAUAUCAUCAGGAGGAGGAGAGGAGGACUUUAUAUCAUCAGGAGGAGGAGAGGAGGACUUUAUAUCAUCAGGAGAGGAGAGGAGGACUUUAUAUCAUCAGGAGGAGAGGAGACUUUAUAUCAUCAGGAGGAGAGGAGGACUUUAUAUCAUCAGGAGGAGGAGAGGAGGACUUUAUAUCAUCAGGAGGAGGAGAGGAGGACUUUAUAUCAUCAGGAGGAGAGAGGAGGACUUAUAUCAUCGGAGGAGGAGAGGAGGACUUUAUAUCAUCAGGGAGGAGGAGAGGAGGACUUUAUAUCAUCAGGAGGAGGAGAGGAGGACUUUAUAUCAUCAGGAGGGAGAGGAGGACUUUAUAUCAUCGAGGAGGAGAGGAGGACUUUAUAUCAUCAGGGAGGAGGAGAGGAGGACUUUAUAUCAUCAGGAGGAGAGGAGGACUUUAUAUCAUCAGGAGGAGGAGAGGACUUUAUAUCAUCAGGAGGAGGAGAGGAGGACUUUAUAUCAUCAGGAGGAGGAGAGGAGGACUUUAUAUCAUCAGGAGGAGGAGAGGAGGACUUUAUAUCAUCAGGAGGAGGAGAGGAGGACUUUACAUCAUCGGGAGGAGAGGAGGACUUUAUAUCAUCAGGAGGAGGAGGAGAGGACUUUAUAUCUCCAGGAGGAGAGGAGGACUUUAUAUCAUCAGGAGGAGGAGAGGAGGACUUUAUAUCUCCAGGAGGAGGAGAGGAGGACUUUAUAUCAUCAGGAGGAGGAGAGGAGGACUUUAUAUCUCCAGGAGGAGGAGGAGAGGAGGACUUUAUAUCAUCAGGAGGAGAGGAGGACUUUAUAUCAUCAGGAGUAGGAGAGGAGGACUUUAUAUCAUCAGGAGGAGAGGAGGACUUUAUAUCAUCAGGAGGAGGAGAGGAGGACUUUAUAUCAUCAGGAGGAGGAGAGGAGGACUUUAUGUCAUCAGGAGGAGGAGAGGAGGACUUUAUAUCAUCAGGAGGAGGAGAGGAGGACUUUAUAUCAUCAGGAGGAGGAGAGGAGGACUUUAUAUCAUCAGGAGGAGGAGAGGAGGACUUAUAUCAUCAGGAGGAGGAGAGGAGGACUUUAUAUCAUCAGGAGGAGGAGGAGAGGACUUUAUAUCUCCAGGAGGAGAGGAGGACUUUAUAUCAUCAGGAGGAGGAGAGGAGGACUUUAUAUCAUCAGGAGGAGGAGAGGAGGACUUUAUAUCAUCAGGAGGAGAGGAGGACUUUAUAUCAUCAGGAGGAGGAGAGGAGGACUUUAUAUCAUCAGGAGGAGGAGAGGAGGACUUUAUAUCAUCAGGAGGAGGAGAGGAGGACUUUAUAUCAUCGGGAGGAGAGGAGGACUUUAUAUCAUCAGGAGGAGGAGAGGAGGACUUUAUAUCAUCAGGAGGAGGAGAGGAGGACUUUAUAUCUCCAGGAGGAGAGGAGGACUUUAUAUCAUCAGGAGGAGGAGAGGAGGACUUUAUAUCAUCCGGAGGAGGAGAGGAGGACUUUAUAUCAUCCGGAGGAGGAGAGGAGGACUUUAUAUCAUCAGGAGGAGGAGAGGAGGACUUUAUAUCAUCAUCAGGAGGAGGAGAGGAGGACUUUAUAUCAUCCGGAGGAGGAGAGGAGGACUUUAUAUCAUCAGGAGGAGAGGAGGAGGACUUUAUAUCAUCAGGAGGAGAGGAGGACUGAGCAUUCAUUCAUUCACAACAGAAGUCGUCUCAUGACACUUUACAAACUCAGCAGAGACUUUGGUUCUGGUUCUGGUUCUCUGUCUUCUCUAUGUAACGUUACGUUCAUGAAGUAAAGUCCAUUUCCCCUCCAGCUCCAGUCAGCAGUCAGCAGAACAGAACCUGGAGGUCAGCUCCGUAACCACAAGUUACAAAGUCACCUCUGAUCUCUGCUCCUGUCGGUAAAUGUCUCCGGAUCAGAACAGAACCUGAUGAGGCUUCAGGUGUUUAUUCCUCACAACUUUUUCCUGAGGGCGGCCAAAACUGGAACCCUGCUGCACCCAAACCCAGAUAAAAAAUAAUUAAUAGUCAGUGAUCCAACAUUUUAAAACAAACUGACCUCACAACAAAUAAAUCAGUGAUUUAUAAUAUAUGAUUUGUUUUAAAUUGCCCUGAAAGAAUAAACAUGAAUCUGCGUCUCUGCACCGACUUGCACAAAAAAUAUCUUUGACACUGAAUUAUAUAAUGUG
rnacentral:lncRNA from 1 species